CCUACGGGUGGCAGCAGUGAGGAAUAUUGGUCAAUGGACGAGAGUCUGAACCAGCCAAGUAGCGUGAAGGAUGACUGCCCUAUGGGUUGUAAACUUCUUUUAUAUGGGAAUAAAAUGUUCCACGUGUGGGAUUUUGUAUGUACCAUAUGAAUAAGGAUCGGCUAACUCCGUGCCAGCAGCCGCGGUAAUACGGAGGAUCCGAGCGUUAUCCGGAUUUAUUGGGUUUAAAGGGAGCGUAGGUGGAUUGUUAAGUCAGUUGUGAAAGUUUGCGGCUGAACCGUAAAAUUGCAGUUGAAACUGGCAGUCUUGAGUACAGUAGAGGUGGGCGGAAUUCGUGGUGUAGCGGUGAAAUGCUUAGAUAUCACGAAGAACUCCGAUUGCGAAGGCAGUUCACUGGACUGCAACUGACACUGAGGCUCGAAAGUGUGGGUAUCAAACAGGAUUAGAUACCCGUGUAGUC
rnacentral:rRNA from 1 species